UAAGGUCCCGAGCGCCGUGUCCAGCAUCCUCUCCUCUCCCUUUCCCCUUGCUCGCUUCCUCCUCCCGAGCCCAUCCCUAGCCGCCUUCUCCCGCAGCACCUCAGCCGCCUCCUCUCGCUUUCCACCCAGCCGCUUACUCCCUCUCGCCCAGCGCGGACGGCCUCCUAGCCGCCGCAGCCGCCGCCUCCUUCUCCCCCUCUUCCUCUCCCUCAGCGUAGCCCCUCCACCUCCCUCCACCUCCCUCCUUUGUCUGACGACGCCUGGUCCAUCUCCUUCUCUCCCUUCCAUCGCCGCUCGUCGCUGCUCCGCCUCCCCGCCUGGCAGCGGCCAGAGAAGGGCUACUCCGCCUCCCCGCCUCACCUCCUCUUCCUCUUUUUCUAGAGCAUGGCCUCGAUCUGGAGCACGAGAGGCCAGGAGAGUGCAUCCUUGAUCUGGAGAAGGGGAGCAGCCGCCGGCCGAUUCUGGCACGCUCCAGCGACCCCGGUGGCCAUCCAGCACCUUCCCGUGCUCUCUUAUCGUCUUGGCCUCCCCCGGAUCCUGGUUCUGCGCCUCCACUGGCUCACCGUCCACCUUCUCCUCCACCUCCCCUAGCUGAUCUGCUCGACCUCAUCGUCGGUGCUCAACAGGGGAAGCACGAGCAGCAGAUGCAGUUGAGCAUCCGCCCGGUCGCAGCUCGGCUUCAGUUAAGUCGCCGCCGCCUCCGGGACCGACAUAGCAGAGGAGCCAUGGAGGGCGUUGGCGGCGCUUGAUUCGAUGUAGCGCCAUGGAUCAGUCCCUGCUGCAGGAGAGAGAGAGAGAGAGAGAGAGAGAGAGAGAGAGGGAGAGGGAGAGGGAGAGGGAGAAGGAAGGAGAGGAGGGAGAAAGAGAAAGGAUAGAGGAGAUGGAGGUGCGUCGUCCGGCAUCGGCCUGCACUGAUACGAGGAUGAAGAUUGAGAUUGUGUAUUUUGGAUGCAAUAUCCCACGGAUAUGGGUUACCUUCCAGAGUGAUAGAGUUGGUCACAAUAAAAUAUGAACCAUGUCAAAGGAUGAGGCUUGUUUAUAUUAAAUCACAAGAACUCCAUGAGCUUGCUUGGUUACUCUGGAGAAGGGCAUUCUUUCAAGGAGCUGUAAAUUUUUUGUAUAUGCUCUCUGUUGGGCACUUUUUUCAGUAUGUACGAGAUUUGUUGAGAAUGAGUGAAAAAAUCGACCAUUUGGUGGAUUUGUUCGGUACUCAGACAGAGUGAAAGCAGAGACCGAAAGUUUACGAUUUAGAUGAUUUGGAGGUGCCAUGUCAAUCUUCUUACCUCCAUAUCAAAACGGAUCAGAUGAUUUAUUGCUUAAGGGCAUGCUCUUAUUCUCUGAGAUGGAUGAUGAUGAGCGAUUGAGCGGUGCAACUAAAAAUUCAGAGCUGGGCUUUACACACUUCAGUGGGAGUAGCAUGGCAACACCAAGGUAGAGACCUGAAGACAAGCAAAGGGGCGGACCAAGGAAACUAGAGCCGCGUUGUCGUGAUGUGAGUCGUGUCGUCUUCGUCCAUCUCCAUGGAGGACCUGCUCGACCAAACUGAACAUUCAGUCAUUGUUUUCACCUGGGAUACACCAUCAGUAUCAACACUGGUAAAAAGAAUCCAAUCAAAACAUGAUGUUUUUCCCUUGGCUACAUGUUUAUUUGAAGGAAACCAUUCAAUUCUCAGUGAUCUUUCUUUAUGCUCCUUAUUGCCAUUUUCCUAAUGCGCCUAUAGAAGUGAUUUAUCAGGUCUUUUGGUAUAUUAUCUUUAAGGGAAUGCCAAAGUUUGUUGGAUUGUGAAUUCUCUGGUCAGAAUCGGUUGUUUUUUUCCCUUGUGUUCAUUUAUUUCUCAGAUUGCAGAACAGAUGAGUGUAGACUAAGUUGAUGAUCUACAGGUGUUGCUCCUCUCCCCUGACCACAUCACCAGCGCCCCUGCCAUCCUCCAAGCCCAUGGCCAGUGGCUCCCCAAGGCCAAGCUAUGUCAGGCUGUAGCAACAAGGUGUUGCUCCUCUCCCCUGAUGUGUAGUGCAACUAUAAAUAGGGAGGGAAUUGCUUGAGGAGAGCUCUCUUGCUACUGUUCUGAGCUCACUCUUUGACUAAUCUAAAUGCUAUCUCUGCUCACCGAUCAAUCAAGGAAAGCACUGAAAUAUCAGCAAGGACCAGCACAAAAAGAAGGGAGAAUAAAUGGGACCAAUUAAGUUACUUGUGUUUAAGAGUACACUACUUUUGACUUUGGAGUCACACUGGUGAAUGGGGCGUCGCAUGAUCUAUGCUGGAGGUGUUCACAUAUAACAAGCUCACUAUUUGUUCCAUUGGUCAGUUGUAUAAUCUGUGGGCGUAUUUAAGUUGAACUAUGCUCCUUUCUUGGUAUUUGGAGACAAGAUAUUGGCAGUUUUUACGUUACCAGACUGUUUAUUAGUUAUCUGUAGUUUUGUAACGCUCUCCAUUGUCAAUGGAAGUUUAGAUUCUUCAGGAAGAAUGGGUCUUGUAUUUAUAUUAUUCAAUUGUGCAAUAAUCGAUAGAUAACAGAAGAUAGAUACUUAAGAAGUUUACAGAUUUGAGUAUGAAAGUUUCACCCCGGUGAGUGUGGUAUUGAAUCAUAACUCUAAUUGUGGUUUAGUUUAUUCUA